rnacentral:rRNA from 1 species
AUACGUAGGUGGCGAGCGUUAUCCGGAAUUAUUGGGCGUAAAGGGAGCGCAGGCGGCGCAUUAAGUCUAUGGUGAAAGUUCGAAGCUUAACUUCGAAUUGCCCUAGAAACUGGUGUGCUAGAGUGCAGGAGAGGUGAGUGGAAUUCCAUGUGUAGCGGUAAAAUGCGUAGAUAUAUGGAGGAACACCAGUGGCGAAGGCGGCUCACUGGCCUGUAACUGACGCUGAGGCUCGAAAGCGUGGGGAGCAAAUAGGAUUAGAUACCCUAGUAGUCCACGCCGUAAACGAUGAUGACUAAGUGUUGGGGAAACUCAGUGCUGCAGUUAACGCAAUAAGUCAUCCGCCUGGGGAGUAUGCACGCAAGUGUAAA